rnacentral:rRNA from 1 species
UAUCCUGUCUGAAUAUGGGGGGACCAUCCUCCAAGGCUAAAUACUCCUGACUGACCGAUAGUGAACCAGUACCGUGAGGGAAAGGCGAAAAGAACCCCGGCGAGGGGAGUGAAAAAGAACCUGAAACCGUGUACGUACAAGCAGUGGGAGCCUCUUAAUGGGGUGACUGCGUACCUUUUGUAUAAUGGGUCAGCGACUUAUAUUCUGUAGCAAGGUUAACCGAAUAGGGGAGCCGAAGGGAAACCGAGUCUUAACUGGGCGUUAAGUUGCAGGGUAUAGACCCGAAACCCGGUGAUCUAGCCAUGGGCAGGUUGAAGGUUGGGUAACACUAACUGGAGGACCGAACCGACUAAUGUUGAAAAAUUAGCGGAUGACUUGUGGCUGGGGGUGAAAGGCCAAUCAAACCGGGAGAUAGCUGGUUCUCCCCGAAAGCUAUUUAGGUAGCGCCUCGUGAAUUCAUCUCCGGGGGUAGAGCACUGUUUCGGCAAGGGGGUCAUCCCGACUUACCAACCCGAUGCAAACUGCGAAUACCGGAGAAUGUUAUCACGGGAGACACACGGCGGGUGCUAACGUCCGUCGUGAAGAGGGAAACAACCCAGACCGCCAGCUAAGGUCCCAAAGUCAUGGUUAAGUGGGAAACGAUGUGGGAAGGCCCAGACAGCCAGGAUGUUGGCUUAGAAGCAGCCAUCAUUUAAAGAAAGCGUAAUAGCUCACUGGUCGAGUCGGCCUGCGCGGAAGAUGUAACGGGGCUAAACCAUGCACCGAAGCUGCGGCAGCGACACUAUGUG